AGUGAACGCUGGCGGUAGGCCUAACACAUGCAAGUCGAACGGCAGCACAGUAAGAGCUUGCUCUUACGGGUGGCGAGUGGCGGACGGGUGAGGAAUACAUCGGAAUCUACUUUUUCGUGGGGGAUAACGUAGGGAAACUUACGCUAAUACCGCAUACGACCUACGGGUGAAAGCAGGGGAUCUUCGGACCUUGCGCGAUUGAAUGAGCCGAUGUCGGAUUAGCUAGUUGGCGGGGUAAAGGCCCACCAAGGCGACGAUCCGUAGCUGACCUGAGAGGAUGAUGGGCCACAGUGGAACUGAGACAAGGUCCAGACGCCGACGGGAGGCAGCAGUAGGGAAUGUUGCGCAAGGGGCGAAAGCCUGACGGAGCAACGCCGCGUGAGGGAGGAAGGUCGUCGGAUCGGAAAACUCUGUUAUGAGGGAAGAACAAAUGUGUAAGUAACUAGGCACGUCUUGACGGUACCUAAUCAGAAAGCCACGGCUAACUACGUG
rnacentral:rRNA from 1 species